AAAGUGAGGAGGUGAAGAUUGUGGUGGUGGACCCCCAGGCCAUGGCUCCUCUCCCAGGGGUCACACAGAUCCAGGGGGACAUCAUAAAGAUCUCAACUGCCCAGGAGUUCAUGUGCAUUUUGAAGGACAGUCUGCAGACCUGGUAAUGUUUGAUGGAGCACCAGACGUGACGGGACUCCAUGAUGUGGAUGAGUAUGUCCUGGCCCAGCUCACAUUUGCUGCGAGUACCACACUGCAACAAGUGUUAUAUUCAGUUGAAUACCAAAUAGCUGAUCUAGUUAUAUGUCUGUAUUGUUCAUCCCUUUACAAUAUUUUAUUAAAUAUACCUUCUCAGGCGCUAAACAUUACAAAACCUGUACUGAAUCCCGAAGGAACGUUUGUUGCAAAGGUAGGCUGAACGUUGGAUGAGAAUUUCAUUGACGUAGUGGGUUUGGAACUUUGUGGAAUUAAAUUAGCUGUGAAUGUUGUCCUAUCCUUUGGUUCCUGUGUAGAUAUUCCGUGGGAAAAAAACCUGGGACCAGGGGCCCAAUUGAAUCAUAGUUCCUUUCCUCACCUGUGGGAACCUGAGUGCCUUUGAGUUGGACCGGACUUACCAUCUCUAAAUCAAAUCAAAUCCAAUGUUAUUUGUCACAAGCGCCGAAUACAACAGGUGUAGACCUUACGGUGAAA